ACCUGUAUUUAAGACAAAAAGAGAUCGUGAAUCAGAUCCGAACGCCUUCGUGAGUGGCAGCUUCUCUUUAUCUCAGUAUUUGCUUCGUCACUAGUCAAACAAGCCAUGUUUUUUCGACACGAUGGAUUACAUGCAUAUGCAUACAUACAACAUCAGUUACCGACAAUCAAAAUUAUGGACCAUGGUGUGCAGUGGAUUUAUUGAAAUCUAUACUAAAAGAUCACUGAUACGUAUAGUAUAGACAAGGUAUAGUAUAGACAAGGGCUUGAAGAGAUGUAGCAGUUAUUACAUUAGCUUUCUAUAUGUUAUGCCCAAUGCAAAAAAAUAAAAAAUCAAAUAAUAAAAAUGAACGUCUUAUCGUUUGUUAUUGCCAUAAAUUCUUCGAAUAAUGAAUAAUUCAGCAGCAAGAAUAGCUAAUCUACCCUUGAGUGGAAUCUGUUAUUGGCUUUAUAUCUUCUUAUAUCUGCCUCAUAUGUACCUCACACUGGUUUGUCCAAUAUAGCAGGGAAUGUUCUUUAUAUCUGUUAAAAAAUGUGACAGAAAAAUAAAAUUGUCAAUUUUCA